UACGUAGGUGGCAAGCGUUGUCCGGAAUUAUUGGGCGUAAAGAGCGCGCAGGCGGCUGGUCAAGUCCGAUGUGAAAGCUCCCGGCUUAACUGGGAAAUUGCAUCGGAAACUGAUCGGCUGGAAGGUGGGAGAGGGUAGCGGAAUUCCCGGUGUAGUGGUGAAAUGCGUAGAUAUCGGGAGGAACACCAGUGGCGAAAGCGGCUACCUGGCCCAUUCUUGACGCUGAGGCGCGAAAGCUAGGGGAGCAAACGGG
rnacentral:rRNA from 1 species